ensembl:lncRNA
AUUUUAGACAACUUCUUUUAACAAGUUUUGAACAUUGAUAAUAUAUAUAUAUAUAUUUAGACAUUAUCAAAAACCUUUAUUUUAAGUUCAGGUUUUCUUUCUUUUUUAAAAAAUUGAAGUGUAAGUUUUUGCAUAAAAAUUACAGUCAUACCUGAAUUGUGUUACCCAUAAUCUAAUUCAGAAUAAAAAAUAUUUUAUCCGGGCAUGAACCAUCAAGUUAUCUGAUUUUAGCCUUUAGACUCAACUAACUAUAUUCAACAGUUACAUAUUCUGUCUUUGAUCUCACUUUGUCUCUCACUGUCUCACACCCUCUUUGUUGUGGUGUAAUAUUAACAGAUUGUGGACCAAGAAGGGUUCAGGAAGAUGUUCUGAAUGAUGUCUAAUGACUUCAGUCUCAUCUUGGAAAAAGUGGAGCCUCAAAUUUCAAGACAGAACACCAGAUUGAGAACUAGCCAUCACUGCAAAGGAGAGACUCGACAUAACACUGCGCUUCUUGGCAACUGGUGAAACCUUUAAGUCCCUCAGUUUUCAGUUCAGGAUGGGGGCCAGCACUGUUUCCAUGAUUGUUGCAGAGACGUGAAGUCCGUCAUGUUCUUAAAAGGGACUAUCUGAAGGCGUAGUUCACCCAAAAAUGAAAAUUACACCAUGAUUUACUCACUCUCAAGCCAU